ensembl:processed_transcript
CACUCCUGUGACUCAAGAAUGACCGUCUCACUCACAACACUGAAUCCUGAUGACAGAGCAUCUACAACCCUCCACAAGUCCCAAACCAGUGGUGAAAGUGGCGAGGAACAAACUUCACUAAUUGACGAAAGUGAAGGAAAAAAAUUGAGAGAAACCAGGCUCACAACCAAAUCUCCUCCGGUCAAACUUUCUGCUCAGAGCUGCAGUCUAGGUGCCGGAGGCUGGAGAACGCUGGACGUCCAUCGUUGAGAAGCUGCAGAUCUGCUACUGUACAAUAGCGUUUCCCUCCCAGAUCCAGACACUGUUUCAUGUACACAGACACAAACACACACCUUUGGCUGCUCCUUUGAUGACAGACACCAAACUCUGUUUUUCCACAGAACCUCCAGGAUGCAUCUGUUCUUAGUUCUUCCCCUGGUGCUGAAAGUCCAGUCUAUCUCCAUGGGCCACAAUGUCACCUGUGACUGUAUCUGCCAUGAGGGAUUCAAAAGUGCUUACUGCUCCAACAAUAAUAUCACCCAACUGCCCAUCGCUCUUCCACCAUUCACAGAAACCCUGAAUCUGUCCCACAACCACCUGAACACCAUCCCCCCACGAGCCUUCAACACCACACGAAAACUGCAUUUCCUUUACCUGAACGACAACAAUAUUAGCAUGUUAGCAGACGGGGCGUUCUUUCUACUGGAAGGUCUUAGGUGGUUGGACUUGAGUCGAAAUCAAAUAUUAUCCUUAAGUGAAGGGUUUUCAAAGGGUCUCAGUUCCCUUCAAGGUCUU